CUUAAUAUACAAGCUGUAAAAAAUGAUACGUUGUCAAAUAUAUGUUGUAGCAAAAACACACAUUUUAGAAAACUAGUGAUCUACAUGUUUGCGUCCCGAUUUGGCUAUUACAUGUAAAACACACAACUGAGCCAAGAAAACGGAAUGUGUUCAGUUUUGGAUACAUGUAAUCGUAGGGCACUCACCUGAACCAGCUAAUAUGGAGGGUUUACCGAUAAUAUCCAGCGUAUAUAAAUCAAUAUGGUCGACAUUGGGGUAGGUAUUUGCUUUCUUAUCAACCAACACACUUGUUGGGAGGGUACCUAUUCAUUCCUAUACAGGUCAACGCAACAAACCAAUGGACCUUCUAUAAAAUGUAAGCGGUGUCAUGACAUGGUGGGAACUUUUACUGAUUGUUGUGGCAUUUAAUGUCGUGAUUGGAAUUGUCACCAUUCUCCUAAAGAGAAUGUUUGAUGAUAGAAGAUGCCAUGAACCGAAAAGAAGUUUCGUCAUCAGAAAGAACCGAGUGGACGCAGCCUCUGUUUCAACGCAGACUUGACCAACAUGUAUACCGUAAAGAUCGACUCUGUCUGAGAACUAAAUGUCUUGUGAUGGCCAUACAGAUAGUUAUCGUUUCUCUUUGACUGUACAUGUAUUAUAUAUCUAAUAAGUACAAUGAACUCUUAAGUAAUUCAUCCGACGAAAUAUGCAUUGUUAUUUUCAGGCAUUGGAAUGAAAACAAUCAAUCAUUAAAUGCAUAUUAGAUUCAUUGAAA